GACGAACGCUGGCGGCGUGCCUAAUACAUGCAAGUCGAGCGGACCGACGGGAGCUUGCUCCCUUAGGUCAGCGGCGGACGGGUGAGUAACACGUGGGUAACCUGCCUGUAAGACUGGGAUAACUCCGGGAAACCGGGGCUAAUACCGGAUGCUUGAUUGAACCGCAUGGUUCAAUCAUAAAAGGUGGCUUUUAGCUACCACUUACAGAUGGACCCGCGGCGCAUUAGCUAGUUGGUGAGGUAACGGCUCACCAAGGCGACGAUGCGUAGCCGACCUGAGAGGGUGAUCGGCCACACUGGGACUGAGACACGGCCCAGACUCCUACGGGAGGCAGCAGUAGGGAAUCUUCCGCAAUGGACGAAAGUCUGACGGAGCAACGCCGCGUGAGUGAUGAAGGUUUUCGGAUCGUAAAACUCUGUUGUUAGGGAAGAACAAGUACCGUUCGAAUAGGGCGGYACCUUGACGGUACCUAACCAGAA
rnacentral:rRNA from 1 species